AAUCAACGCUGGCGGCGUGCCUCAGACAUGCAAGUCGAACGAUUAAAGCUCUCUUCGGAGAGUGCAUAGAGUGGCGCACGGGUGAGUAACACGUAAGUAAUCUACCUUCGAGUGGGGAAUAACAUCGGGAAACCGAUGCUAAUACCGCAUAAUGCAGCGGCAUCGCAAGAUGACAGUUGUUAAAGGAGCAAUUCGCUUGAAGAGGAGCUGCGGCAGAUUAGCUAGUUGGUAAGGUAAUGGCUUACCAAGGCUACGAUCUGUAUCCGGUCUAAGAGGACGGUCGGACACACUGACACUGAAUAACGGGUCAGACUCCUACGGGAGGCAGCAGUCGGGAAUUUUGGGCAAUGGGCGAAAGCCUGACCCAGCAACGCCGCGUGAAGGAUGAAGUAUUUCGGUAUGUAAACUUCGAAAGAAUAGGAAGAAUAAAUGACGGUACUAUUUAUAAGGUCCGGCUAACUACGUGCCAGCCGCCGCGGUAAC
rnacentral:rRNA from 1 species